UUUUCUCGCAUUAUCUCACGAAAUUUGAUGCAGGAGCAUCUUGCAAGCUGUCCUGAGGAAAGGACACGUGUUAUGAAUGAAGGCAUGGAAGUGACGUGGCAAGUGGAUACGUGGAGGGUUGGCCCUGCUGCACUUCAGGUUACACGAUCAAUUGGUGAUGAUGACUUGAAGCCUGCUGUGACUGCGGAGCCUGAGAUUAUAGAAACUUCUUUGUCUGAAGUUGAUGAGUUCUUGGUGAUGGCUAGUGAUGGACUGUGGGAUGUUAUGAGCAAUAAAGAAGUGAUAUCCAUUAUUAGAGAUACUGUGAAGGAGCCAACACUGUGUUCCAAGAGAUUGGUGACUGAAGCUGCUGCACGUGGCAGCAAAGAUAAUAUUACAGUCAUUGUCGUCUUCCUCCGGCCUGUAUCCACGGCUGAAAGAGUUUAUUAGCUCAUCAAACAGGUUAACUUUUUAAAAUAUAUCUAUGUGUUUCUUCACAUAAUACCACAAUGUCUAAGACAAGUGAAGGUGGUCCCUCAGCGAUGUGAGAUAAGGAGGUUAUAAUUAUUUUUUGCUAACUCUGCAUCACCGAGAUUAAGAUCGGGAAUAGUCCGACCACCUAUUUCAACAAGGAAGGUUGACAUAACAUAUCAAAGAAGUUUAAAAAAUUAACUGGAAGAGAUUAUGACAGACUGAAGUUUAAAAAUAAAUGGGAUCAUUUGAAGGAGUGGAAAAUUUGGAAGGAGCGGAAAAUUUGAAAGGAGCGGAAAAUUUGGAAGGAGCUGAAACGUGGAUCCACAGGUUUGGGGUGGGAUCCAAUCAAAUGGACAAUUGAUGCUCCUGAGGAAUGGUGGGCCGAUAAAUUAGAGUUAAACAAACAUGAUUUCUAGGAUAUCAGUUACAGACAGAGGUCUUUUGUGUUAUUGUGGUCUACCGGCUCCAUUUCUCACGUCGCGUCAUU